rnacentral:rRNA from 1 species
CGCGUAGGCGGACAGUUAAGUCGGGGGUGAAAGCCCGGGGCUCAACCUCGGAAUUGCCUUCGAUACUGGCUGUCUUGAGUGCGGGAGAGGUGUGUGGAACUCCGAGUGUAGAGGUGAAAUUCGUAGAUAUUCGGAAGAACACCAGUGGCGAAGGCGACACACUGGCCCGUUACUGACGCUGAUGCGCGAAAGCGUGGGGAGCAAACAGGAUUAGAUACCCUGGUAGUCCACGCCGUAAACGAUGAGUGCUGGUUGUCGGCAUGCAUGCAUGUCGGUGACGCAGCUAACGCAUUAAGCACUCCGCCUGGGGAGUACGGUCGCAAGAUUAAA